UGGGGAAUAUUGCACAAUGGGCGCAAGCCUGAUGCAGCCAUGCCGCGUGUGUGAAGAAGGCCUUCGGGUUGUAAAGCACUUUCAGCGAGGAGGAAGGUGGUGAGCUUAAUACGCUCAUCAAUUGACGUUACUCGCAGAAGAAGCACCGGCUAACUCCGUGCCAGCAGCCGCGGUAAUACGGAGGGUGCAAGCGUUAAUCGGAAUUACUGGGCGUAAAGCGCACGCAGGCGGUUUGUUAAGUCAGAUGUGAAAUCCCCGGGCUCAACCUGGGAACUGCAUUUGAAACUGGCAAGCUAGAGUCUCGUAGAGGGGGGUAGAAUUCCAGGUGUAGCGGUGAAAUGCGUAGAGAUCUGGAGGAAUACCGGUGGCGAAGGCGGCCCCCCUGGACGAAGACUGACGCUCAGGUGCGAAAGCGUGGGGCAGCAAACAGGAUUAGAUACCCUGGUAGUCACGCUGUAAACGAUGUCGAUUUGGAGGUUGUGCCCCUUGAGGCGUGGCUUCCGGAGCUAACGCGUUAAAUCGACCGCCUGGGGAGUACGGCCGCAAGGUUAAAACUCAAAUGAAUUGC
rnacentral:rRNA from 1 species